GCCAGCUAACCACGUGGUGGUGUGAUCAACAGAGGUGUGCUAGCAUGGCAUUCAACGCGGAGACAACUAAUCAUGAAGAUUCAGGACCAGCCCUGGACCAACAGGUCCAGAACGGAGCCAACGGGCGUCAUUAUCUCGACACAAUGUGACAUGCUGUGUCCUCUACGCUGAUCCCUGCGAUGUGAAGCAACGUGAGUGGACAUGAAUAUGAAAGCUCCCUUCAAAGCCACUGGGCGCCAAAUCUAAAGGACAGGAUUAAUAUCCUGGCUGGUGAAGACACUUCCAACACCGAGGCACCGGUAAACACAGUCAUUUUUGUUAUUUUAAUGGAAACUUUUAUAAAACGAGCAAUGUGAAUGAAUGAGAGGUCGAUCAAGGAGACCUGGGACGUUUUCCGACGACGGACAAAUCAACGUCCAUCUGAUCAUCAACAAACGUUUAGUUUUAGGCAACAAUGCUGUUUGUCUGUUGCAUCGGAACUAUCGUCUAUUCUUGUUCACUAUUGACUAUUUUCUUCAGGCUUCUGAAAAGCGAUACACAACAUUUGGUGGAUACAACUGUUUUCUGCUAUUUCUCUACUAUUUGUAAUGUCUCUGUUUCCUUCUUCCGCUCUGUUUCCUGACGGUUUAAUAGGAUCCGUGACCCACAGGGCCGCUCGUCUCCGGGUGACUGAGAUCUCUUCAUUUCACGCAGCGACACACCAGUAAAGUUCAGGUCAACGUUGGUAAAACACAGUAAAGAAAACACAAACGUCUCCGUCGGCUCUGCAGCUCGUACAAAACAUGUAGUCCAAAAGUUUUAUUGUGCUUUAAAUGUUCAAAUCAUUGGUAAAUAUGUAGAGUGAUUCUCGACGGUCUGCAGCUGGUCCGGGUCUCUACUUAAAGAAGCCGCCGAGGGCCCCCAUCACUGCGUUGGCCCCUGAGGAACAAAGCCAAUGUUAAGAAAAGUUAAGACUGAAGCCUGGAAACAUCUACGAUGUGAUGAUGACGAUGAACCAACAAAAAUAUGAAUAUAUACAUAUGCAGAUAUAGAAAUGUGUAUUUAAUUAUAUAAAC
ensembl:lncRNA